UACGUAGGGGGCUAGCGUUGUCCGGAAUCAUUGGGCGUAAAAAAGCGCGUAGGCGGCCAGAUAAGUCCGGUGUGAAAGUCAAAGGCUCAACCUUUGAAUGCCGCUGGAAACUGUCUGGCUAGAGUCCGGGAGGGGCGAGUGGGAAUUCCUGGUGUAGCGGUGAAAUGCGCAGAUAUCAGGAGGAACACCAAUGGCGAAGGCAGCUCGCUGGAACGGUACUGACGCUGAGGCGACGAAAAGCGUGGGGGAGCGAACAGG
rnacentral:rRNA from 1 species